UUAAACCUAAACUCCUGAAGUCAUGGCUGGAAGAGACUGAACGUUCCUGACCUCUGAGUCCCAUUCAGCACUGGUCUUUCAUGUUACUGGCUUUCCAAGGACGUAAAGAAACACAACAGAAUGAAGAGUAUAACAACUUUCAAAAUGAGCCUUGCGUAUCUCCAGAAGGAGCUGGUCAUCUUCCACCGAGUUCACCAUGUGGCACCGCCGUGUUUCUACGGCAGCCCAGAACAGACAAACUAAACACAAGGUAUGAAUAAACACCAUGAGGCAGCGGGCUUCAUUUAAUCACCGCGGUGUCACAGCAGGAGGUGACGAGCCACUCUCCCUUUCCCCCUAAUGCGACAUGGGUAAUACAAACAUCUUUAGAGGCUCCCCCGUGCACAACACAACUGCUCUUUGUUUUAUGUGAUUAGGCCAGUUCAGGAUCUAGAAACCAACCAAAUGACGGACGGAGCAAGUUGGGCUGAGGUCGAAAAUGUUAAGAUGUGAGGGUCAUUGUGGUCGAAACUUUGAAAAAAAAGACAAAAUUAUCAACUGAAUCAAACUGCUUUGAGUUUUGAUUGAUACGUCGGAGCAGUGUUUAAUUCAAACAUCAACGCUUCAGCCUCACUUCCCAGAUACGUUUCCUACAGCAUCGUAUAAUUCACUGGCCAAAUAUUUGUGCUGACUCAUGUGAUAGGCCAUUCACAGUCUCAGUGACCCAUUAACAUCCUACAGGUUCCCAUUGUAUGGCCCUAAAUGGAUCCAUUAGCAUUGCCUUUGUUAUUUAAAUCCUACAUUUCCUGACAAAGAGUGUGGUUUAACUCUCUAAUGAGGACUUCCUCAGACAAAAGGGACCGAGGCCUCUAUUUUUCCCUCUGCUCUCUAAAUCCACUGCCAACCUGUGAGAUUUAACGAGUAUGAAUGUUAGCAUCUGCUGUCAUUUAUAAUUUAAAGUACUUCACUUUGAAUCUCUAGUUUUUUGUUUGUUUUUUUUUCUGAUGUUCUCGAUGAUAUAACACUUCAUUAUCUGAUAUAUUCUGUAUAUUCUUCACGAGCCAUCCUGGUUCUUCCCAUAGAGAUCAAGAGUAAUCUUUUUCUAAUGUUGUAUUUGAGAUGAAAGAUGAGUCUGUGUGUUCACCUGUUGCCCUGAAAAAAACACUUCAUGGAACCAGUACAAACAUUGUACUUUGCCUCCAUUACAUUUAUUUGACAACUUUAGUUACUUGUUGCUGCAUCAGAGCCAAAGCCGUGCAUCUACACAUGUCCACAUUUCAAACACACUGAUUUUAAUGAUCAGAGAAAUGUUGAAAUAUCAGAUCUGAUGAUUGUCCAGGUGGAUCCUCAUUACUUUUCAUACUUAAAUGCAUUAAAUAUCAGAUACUUUUAGGCUGUAAUAUUCAAUUGGGCGACUUUUACUUUUACCAAAUUGAUAUUUUAAUACAUUAAAUAUCUGUAGUUUUGCUCAAGUAUGACUUCAAGGUACUUUUUACAACACUGGUUUUAUUUAUAUUCGUAUGUGUUGCAUCAGAAUCAGAAUCAGAAUCAGAAAAAGCUUUAUUGCCAAGUACGAUGUUACACAUACGAGGAAUUUGUUGUG